GGAAGGAUGGCAGAGCGGUUGAACGCGCCGGUCUUGAAAACCGUUUGUCGAGUUAAUCGGCACGUGGGUUCGAAUCCCACUCCUUCCGCCA
rnacentral:tRNA from 1 species